rnacentral:rRNA from 1 species
ACAGCAGCCGCCACGGUAAUACGGAGGGUGCAAGCGUUAAUCGGAAUUACUGGGCGUAAAGCGCACGCAGGCGGUCUGACAAGUCAGAUGUGAAAUCCCCGGGCUUAACCUGGGAACUGCAUUUGAAACUGUCAGGCUGGAGUCUUGUAGAGGGGGGUGGAAUUCCAGGUGUAGCGGUGAAAUGCGUAGAGAUCUGGAGGAAUACCGGUGGCGAAGGCGGCCCCCUGGACAAAGACUGACGCUCAGGUGCGAAAGCGUGGGGAGCAAACAGGAUUAGAGACCCCUGUAGUCCCUGUCUCUUAUAC